rnacentral:miRNA from 1 species
UGAUUUGAAGUUUAUGAAUGUUGUA